GACGAACGCUGGCGGCGUGCUUAACACAUGCAAGUCGAACGGAAAGGCCCUGCUUGCAGGGUCCUCGAGUGGCGAACGGGUGAGUAACACGUGGGUGAUCUGCCCUGCACUUCGGGAUAAGCCUGGGAAACUGGGUCUAAUACCGGAUAGGAGCCAUUUUUAGUGUGAUGGUUGGAAAGUUUUUUCGGUGUAGGAUGAGCUCGCGGCCUAUCAGCUUGUUGGUGGGGUAAUGGCCUACCAAGGCGGCGACGGGUAGCCGGCCUGAGAGGGUGGACGGCCACAUUGGGACUGAGAUACGGCCCAGACUCCUACGGGAGGCAGAAGUGGGGAAGAUUGAACAAUGAGAGCAAGCCUGAUGCAGAGACGCCGCGUGGGGGAGGACGGCCUUCGGGUUGUAAACUCCCUUCGCUAGGGACGAAGCUUUUUGUGACGGUACCUAGAUAAGAAGCACCGGCUAACUACGUG
rnacentral:rRNA from 1 species